rnacentral:lncRNA from 1 species
ACACAUGACCUCUGUCCUUCCAGCUGCCACCAGUUUCUGGGUUGUCGAGUGAUACCCUGAAAGUUUACAGUCAACACUCCUUGUGUGGGGUCAGUCCUAGAAAUGGCGACGCUGCUCUCCGAAGAUAGGAAAGAAAAGGACCUCAUUCCAUUGAGCCAUUGACCGAAAUAUUUUCUCAACAAAGUUGAACUGAGCUGAAACUGUGUGAAUCAUGGCAAUACAGUGAAAGACAGUGAUUUACUGCUUUUGAGGGCGUGCAUGUAUAUGAUUAACGGAUGGAAGUGCAGGACUCCAAGAUUUACUUCCUUCCCUUUCCAGCAGAAUUACCUGAGACGAGUAAAAUCUACUGGUGGAGUCACUCCAUUAUUCUUAUCUGUGGAGAUCUAGAUCUUGAUUUGAAAGUUUCUGAGAAAAUCUUCAGCUCAGACUUGAGGGUCAACUUUACCAGCUGAAGGAUCUGCAUUUACUGCUCAACCACAUCUAAUUUGAUGUCCUCUGCAGAUUUAAAAUGUGUGCCUUCUUUUCCGUCACCAAGUCAUCCCUGGGUUACUACUGAACAUCCUUCUCAAUUCCCCCCGACCCAUGGAUGGCUGUUCUCCAUUGUCUGUUUCACCAGAUGUCCUCAAAACAAACAGACAGAAGAAGGAAGUGGCUAAUGGAGCUGUGGAGUCCAAGUGUGACUGCCAAGAGGAAUCCAGCAAAGCCAAAAAGCCCAAGCAUGUAGCCCUGCCCGAAGCACGCCACACGCAUGGAAAACCCAGAGGAAAUGAGUGAGGAUCAAUGGGAAGAAGAGAGCCAGCCAGGUUCGAUGCCUUCUCCAUCCGUCAGUGAG